ACCUGGUUGAUCCUGCCAGUAGGCAUAUGCUCGUCUCUAAGAUUAAGCCAUGCAUGUCCAAGUUCAUGCCUAGACAACGUGAGACUGCGAAAGGCUCAGUAAAUCAGUUAUUGUUCGUUUGAUUGUAUACCCCACUGGAUAACCGUGGAAAAGCUAGAGCUAAUACAUGCGAAACAUUCCUCAUCAUCAGCAAUGGUGGUGAGGUGGCAUUUAUUGGAGUAAACCAACUAUGGGAGCCUCUCCUAAUCGGGAGGAUCCAUUGGUGAGUCUAGAUAACUGCGCUGAUCGUAUGGCCUAUGUGCCGGCGACGUUUCAAUCAAAUUUCUGCCCUAUCAACUUGUUGGUAAAGUAUUGGCUUACCAAGGUGAUAACGGGUAACGGGGAAUCAGGGUUCGAUUCCGGAGAGGGAGCCUGAGAAACGGCUACCACAUCCAAGGAAGGCAGCAGGCGCGCAAAUUACCCAAUCCAGACACUGGGAGGUGGUGACGAGAAAUACCAGGUCGUUCCCAAAAGGAUGCGACACUGGAAUGAACACAAUAUAAGACAUUUGUCGAGUAACAACUGGAGGGCAAGUCUGGUGCCAGCAGCCGCGGUAAUUCCAGCUCCAGUAGUGUAUCCUAAAGUUGCUGCGGUUAAAACGCUCGUAGUUGGAUUACGGGGCGGUUCUCUGCGGUCUGCUCAUCGUAAAGGUUGCAUCGGAGUGGUUGGGGUAACACCUGAUGUAUUUCGGUGUAGCUGAUGAGUGGACUCUGUCAUGGGGACCGCCACUUGUAUCGUGAGGAUGGUGGUUGGCCUUUACCGUGCUGCCCACUGUGUCUCGCGGAGUGUGCCUUGAAUAAAUCAGAGUGCUCAAAGCAGGCGAAUUGCUUGAAUGUUAAUAGCAUGGAACGAACAGUCGUGAUAUGUGCCGCGUACUAGAUCCACAUUGGGCUUGCUCAGUGUGACUGUGCGUGGUGCUGCACCAACCACGAUGCGGACGUUGGUUUCCGUGAUCGGGUGAUGAUUAAGAGGGACAAUUGGGGGCAUUGGUAUUUGGCCGCGAGAGGUGAAAUUCUUGGACCGGCCAAGGACCGACAAAUGCGAAAGCAUUUGCCAAGAUUGUUCCCAUUAAUCAAGAACGAAAGUGAGAGGUUCGAAGACGAUCAGAUACCGUCCUAGUUCUCACCGUAAACUAUGCCAACCCGGGAUCAGUUGCGAUUGACAUAAUAAGAUCCAUGUUGGUCCCCCUGGGAAACCUCAAGUCUUUAGGUUCCGGGGGGAGUAUAGUCGCAAGCCUGAAACUUAAAGGAAUUGACGGAAGGGCACCACCAGGGGUGGAGCCUGCGGCUUAAUUUGACUCAACACGGGAAAACUCACCUGGUCCGGACAUCGAUAGGAUUGACAGACUGAUAGAUCUUUCAUGAUACGGUGGUUGGUGGUGCAUGGCCGUUCUUAGUUCGUGGAGCGAUCUGUCAGGUUUAUUCCGGUAACGAACGAGACCACAGUCUUCAUUUAAGGGAUUAGAGUUUGAGGUCAGUACUGUCAUCGAGAAGUGCCUGUGGAGGGCCCACUGUCGGUUGUACAUUGGGGUGUUGUCUACAGUUGGUACGGGUCAAACCGUCGCCAGUUGUAGAUAAUGCCACUAACUGGUGUAUGGCUGAUGUUGGCAGUUCUCUGCUUGUGACCUUGGUGCGCAGCCCUACCUCCCUCUAUUGUAACGUGCAAACGUCACUAUGGAGAGACAACCGGAGAUAAAGCCGGAGGAAGCUUGGCAAUAACAGGUCUGUGAUGCCCUUCGAUGUUCAGGGCCGCACGCGCGCUACAAUGAUAACGACAGCGAGUAUCGGGCCCGAAAGGGCUUAGGUAAUCUUGUGAAUCGUUAUCGUGAUGGGGAUUGAGCGUUGUAAUUGUUGCUCAUGAAAGAGGAAUCCCUAGUAAUUGCAGCUCAUCGAAGCUGUGAUGAUUUAGUCUCUGCCCUUUGUACACACCGCCCGUCGCUACUACCGAGUGAAUGGUGUCAUGAUGCCUUGGGACUGGACGGCGCCCUUGUCUGUAUGGGCAAAGGUGCUGCUAGGAGCAAGGCAAAAUGGUGCAAUUUCGAGGAAGUAAAAGUCGUAACAAGGUUUCCGUAGGUGAACCAGCGGAAG
rnacentral:rRNA from 1 species